CCCAAGAGAUCGGGAUAACACCUGGAAACAGAUGCUAAUACCGGAUAACAACAGAUGAUGCCUAUCAACUGUUUAAAAGAUGGUUCUGCUAUCACUCUUGGAUGGACCUGCGGUGCAUUAGCUAGUUGGUAGGGUAACGGCCUACCAAGGCGAUGAUGCAUAGCCGAGUUGAGAGACUGAUCGGCCACAUUGGGACUGAGACACGGCCCAAACUCCUACGCGGGAGGCAGCAGGC
rnacentral:rRNA from 1 species